rnacentral:rRNA from 1 species
GGGUUGUGAGGUUAAGCGACUAAGCGUACACGGUGGAUGCCCUGGCAGUCAGAGGCGAUGAAGGACGUGCUAAUCUGCGAUAAGCGUCGGUAAGGUGAUAUGAACCGUUAUAACCGGCGAUUUCCGAAUGGGGAAACCCAGUGUGUUUCGACACACUAUCAUUAACUGAAUCCAUAGGUUAAUGAGGCGAACCGGGGGAACUGAAACAUCUAAGUACCCCGAGGAAAAGAAAUCAACCGAGAUUCCCCCAGUAGCGGCGAGCGAACGGGGAGCAGCCCAGAGCCUGAAUCAGUGUGUGUGUUAGUGGAAGCGUCUGGAAAGGCGCGCGAUACAGGGUGACAGCCCCGUACACAAAAAUGCACAUGCUGUGAGCUCGAUGAGUAGGGCGGGACACGUGGUAUCCUGUCUGAAUAUGGGGGGACCAUCCUCCAAGGCUAAAUACUCCUGACUGACCGAUAGUGAACCAGUACCGUGAGGGAAAGGCGAAAAGAACCCCGGCGAGGGGAGUGAAAAAGAACCUGAAACCGUGUACGUACAAGCAGUGGGAGCACGCUUCGGCGUGUGACUGCGUACCUUUUGUAUAAUGGGUCAGCGACUUAUAUUCUGUAGCAAGGUUAACCGAAUAGGGGAGCCGAAGGGAAACCGAGUCUUAACUGGGCGUUAAGUUGCAGGGUAUAGACCCGAAACCCGGUGAUCUAGCCAUGGGCAGGUUGAAGGUUGGGUAACACUAACUGGAGGACCGAACCGACUAAUGUUGAAAAAUUAGCGGAUGACUUGUGGCUGGGGGUGAAAGGCCAAUCAAACCGGGAGAUAGCUGGUUCUCCCCGAAAGCUAUUUAGGUAGCGCCUCGUGAAUUCAUCUCCGGGGGUAGAGCACUGUUUCGGCAAGGGGGUCAUCCCGACUUACCAACCCGAUGCAAACUGCGAAUACCGGAGAAUGUUAUCACGGGAGACACACGGCGGGUGCUAACGUCCGUCGUGAAGAGGGAAACAACCCAGACCGCCAGCUAAGGUCCCAAAGUCAUGGUUAAGUGGGAAACGAUGUGGGAAGGCCCAGACAGCCAGGAUGUUGGCUUAGAAGCAGCCAUCAUUUAAAGAAAGCGUAAUAGCUCACUGGUCGAGUCGGCCUGCGCGGAAGAUGUAACGGGGCUAAACCAUGCACCGAAGCUGCGGCAGCGACACUAUGUGUUGUUGGGUAGGGGAGCGUUCUGUAAGCCUGCGAAGGUGUGCUGUGAGGCAUGCUGGAGGUAUCAGAAGUGCGAAUGCUGACAUAAGUAACGAUAAAGCGGGUGAAAAGCCCGCUCGCCGGAAGACCAAGGGUUCCUGUCCAACGUUAAUCGGGGCAGGGUGAGUCGACCCCUAAGGCGAGGCCGAAAGGCGUAGUCGAUGGGAAACAGGUUAAUAUUCCUGUACUUGGUGUUACUGCGAAGGGGGGACGGAGAAGGCUAUGUUGGCCGGGCGACGGUUGUCCCGGUUUAAGCGUGUAGGCUGGUUUUCCAGGCAAAUCCGGAAAAUCAAGGCUGAGGCGUGAUGACGAGGCACUACGGUGCUGAAGCAACAAAUGCCCUGCUUCCAGGAAAAGCCUCUAAGCAUCAGGUAACAUUAAAUCGUACCCCAAACCGACACAGGUGGUCAGGUAGAGAAUACCAAGGCGCUUGAGAGAACUCGGGUGAAGGAACUAGGCAAAAUGGUGCCGUAACUUCGGGAGAAGGCACGCUGAUAUGUAGGUGAAGUCCCUCGCGGAUGGAGCUGAAAUCAGUCGAAGAUACCAGCUGGCUGCAACUGUUUAUUAAAAACACAGCACUGUGCAAACACGAAAGUGGACGUAUACGGUGUGACGCCUGCCCGGUGCCGGAAGGUUAAUUGAUGGGGUUAGCGGUAACGCGAAGCUCUUGAUCGAAGCCCCGGUAAACGGCGGCCGUAACUAUAACGGUCCUAAGGUAGCGAAAUUCCUUGUCGGGUAAGUUCCGACCUGCACGAAUGGCGUAAUGAUGGCCAGGCUGUCUCCACCCGAGACUCAGUGAAAUUGAACUCGCUGUGAAGAUGCAGUGUACCCGCGGCAAGACGGAAAGACCCCGUGAACCUUUACUAUAGCUUGACACUGAACAUUGAGCCUUGAUGUGUAGGAUAGGUGGGAGGCUUAGAAGUGUGGACGCCAGUCUGCAUGGAGCCGACCUUGAAAUACCACCCUUUAAUGUUUGAUGUUCUAACGUGGACCCGUGAUCCGGGUUGCGGACAGUGUCUGGUGGGUAGUUUGACUGGGGCGGUCUCCUCCUAAAGAGUAACGGAGGAGCACGAAGGUUGGCUAAUCCUGGUCGGACAUCAGGAGGUUAGUGCAAUGGCAUAAGCCAGCUUGACUGCGAGCGUGACGGCGCGAGCAGGUGCGAAAGCAGGUCAUAGUGAUCCGGUGGUUCUGAAUGGAAGGGCCAUCGCUCAACGGAUAAAAGGUACUCCGGGGAUAACAGGCUGAUACCGCCCAAGAGUUCAUAUCGACGGCGGUGUUUGGCACCUCGAUGUCGGCUCAUCACAUCCUGGGGCUGAAGUAGGUCCCAAGGGUAUGGCUGUUCGCCAUUUAAAGUGGUACGCGAGCUGGGUUUAGAACGUCGUGAGACAGUUCGGUCCCUAUCUGCCGUGGGCGCUGGAGAACUGAGGGGGGCUGCUCCUAGUACGAGAGGACCGGAGUGGACGCAUCACUGGUGUUCGGGUUGUCAUGCCAAUGGCACUGCCCGGUAGCUAAAUGCGGAAGAGAUAAGUGCUGAAAGCAUCUAAGCACGAAACUUGCCCCGAGAUGAGUUCUCCCUGACCCUUUAAGGGUCCUGAAGGAACGUUGAAGACGACGACGUUGAUAGGCCGGGUGUGUAAGCGCAGCGAUGCGUUGAGCUAACCGGUACUAAUGAACCGUGAGGCUUAACCUUACAACGCCGAAGGUGUUU